CCUACGGGAGGCUGCAGUGAGGAAUAUUGGUCAAUGGCCGGAAGGCUGAACCCGCCAAGCCGCGUGAAGGACGAAGGUGCCCAGCAUUGUAAACUUCUUUUGUCAAGGGACAAAAUCAGGCUCGAGAGCCUGACCGAGGGUCCUUGAAGAAAAAGCCUCGGCUCACUCCGUGCCAGCAGCCGCGGUAAUAAGGGGGAUGCGAGCGUUGUCCGGAUUUAUUGGGGUUAAAGGGUGCUUAGGCGGACUGUUACGUCAGCGGUAAACGCCCGGGGCUAAACCCCGGCGAGCCGUUGAAACUGGCUGUCUUGAGAUGUCGAGAGGUAUGCGGAAUGCGCAGUGUAGCGGUGAAAUGCUUAGAUAUUGCGCAGAACUCCGAUUGCGAAGGCAGCAUACCGGCGGCGAUCUGACGCUGAGGCACGAAAGCGUGGGUAUCGAACAGGAUUAGAUACCCUAGUAGUC
rnacentral:rRNA from 1 species